UGGUCGCUCCCCUCAAAUGGUUUUUAGUGCUACCAUCAUACUAAACAUCCCUAGUCCAUCCACUCUGCCAUUCUACUGACUGUCACAUCUCCAUCCUCAAGAAAAAAAAAAAGACUUUGGAAGAAAACUUCCACAGAAUACCACCACUACCUAUACCCACCUAAACAUCUGCCCAUACAUAUUGUCUGCCCUCAUUACUAGUGUUGAAAGUUACUUUUUAAAAAAAGGAUGUAAGAUAAUGUUUCACAUACAACUAUAAAAUGAAUAUGUGCCUUUUUGUUCCCUGGGCAUAUGAGUCAUGGCCCUAUCUUAGAGCCUCUGCACUGGCUGUUUCCUCUGUGUAGGCUGCUCUUCCCCCAGAAAGCCACAUGACUAAAUGCCACGUUGAGCCCUACAGGUAAAUGGUGAGUCCUGGAAGAGGGAUGGUGCAGUAUAACAGAACACAUAGGACAACUUACAUUUUGAAAGUGGGGACCAGCAGGCCCACAGAACAAGGGCCCUAGAAUUUAGCCCACCUGAUUUUUAUGAAGGAAGGUGAUGGGGUUAUCAUUAAUGGGAUUAAGGAAGGUGACAAGAUUGGUGGGUAGGAACAGGCAGGGGCAAUAAUGAGAUUAUCACCUUGGUAACUUCAAAGGGGAUAUCCUUAGGGCAUAGUGCAGCUGUUUAUUGAAUAACAUGGUUAAUGCAAAAUGUCAGUCUUCAGUUCACAGUGCUUGCCCAUGGCCAUAUAUUUGACCAUACUUUGGGGAGGCAUAUCAUGACCAUUUUGUUGUCCCACAGCACUAAGAAUGAAUAUUCCUAGAUCUGGCAAAGAUUUUGCUGAUAGGCAACUCAGUGUGCUAUUACUGGAUUAGGCCUUAUUAACAGUAGUCAAAAGCCUCUGGACCACCUAUCUUCCCUGUCUAUUUUGGUCCAGGAACAUAUUUCUUCUUGCUGCAUUUUCCCAUAUCUAGAGAUCACUGAGCUCACAUGGAACUGCAUAUCAUCAUUGUAUCAGAGGCUCAGCUACAAAUGCAGCAAUGCAAGAAAUAGCAAUUUUGUGAAAUAAAAUAUAGAUAGCAGUAUUAGUAGAGUCAUGAUCAAAAAUUUUAGUUAAGAGCUUUCAUCCUGUUAAUAUUAGAUGAAAAUAUAUUUAUGGUUUGGGUAAGAGCACAUUUUUGGGUUUUUGUUUUUUUGUUUGUCUUUUUACCUUUUCUAGGGCUUCUCUGGUGGCAUAUGGAGAUUCCCAUGCUGCACUAAUUUAUAUGCCUACCAAAAGUGUAUGAGUGUUCUUUUUCCACCCCUUCUCCUCUAUUAUUGUUUGUGGACAUUUUGAAGAGAGCCAUUCUGACAGGUGGGAAGUGAUACGUUCAUGGUGGCUUUGAUGUACAUUUCUCUGAUAGUGAUGCUGAAUAUCUUUUUGUGUGCUGUUGGCCAUCUGUACAUCUUCUUUGAAAAAAUGUUGGUUUGGGUCUUCGGCCCAUUUUUCCAUUGGGUUGUUUGUUUUUUCAGCAUUGACUUUUAUGAGUUGUUUGUAUAUUUUGGAUAUGAGCACCUUGUUUCUUGUGUCAUCAGCAGAUAUUUUCUGGAACCACUAUUACGUAUUGGUUGGCACUUUUUCUAUAUUCCCAUAGAUUGAGUAUAUUGGCUUCAUUCUUUUUCCCCCUGGUUUAUCUGCCAGAUGUCUUGACUGGUGAUUUCCAUUAUUCUCUUUCAGAUCCCUUACUGGUUCUGUGUCAUUUGGUCUGCUAUUCAUUGCUUCUAGAUUGCUUUUUGUCCCAGCAGUUUUUUUGUUUGUUUUUGUCUUUUUGCUAUUUCUUGGGCUGCUCUCAUGGAAUAUGGAGUUUCCCAGGCUAAGAGCCUACACCAGAGCCACAGCAACACAGGAUCCAAGCCGCAUCUGCAACCCACACCAGAGUUCACAGCAAUGCUGGAUUCUUAACCCGCUGAGCAAGGGCAGGGAUAGAAUCUGCAACCUCAUGGUUCCUAGUUGGAUUCGUUAACCACUGUGGCAUGAUAAGAACUUUCCCAGUUUGUCUGUUUUUGACUAAUUCAUCUUUCUAGUUUCUAGUGCCUUGUUACAGUGACCUGCGUUUCUAUCAGUAAUCUUUCUUAAUUAGCACUUUUCUUUUAAAAAUGUUAAUUAUAGUUGAUUUACAGUAUUCUGUCCAUUUCUGCUGUACAGCAAAGUGACCCAGUUAUACAUAUAAACAUUCUUGUUCUCACAUGAUCCCCCAAAAUGUUCUGUCACAGGUGACUAGUGAGAUCCUAUACAGCAGGACCUCAUUGCUUAUUCACACUCCAAAUGCUAUAGUUUACAUCAAAAACCCCUGAACUCCCAGUCCAUCCCACUGCUUCCCCUCAUCCCUUUGGGAACCACAAGUCUGUUUUCCAUGUCCAUGAGUUUGUUUUUUUCUAUAGAUAGCUUCAUUUGUGCCAUAUAUUAGAUUGUAAAUAGAAGUGAUAUUAUAUGGUAUUGGUCUUUCAUAUUGCUGCAAAUGACAUUACUUUGUUCUUCUUCUGGCUGAGUAAUACUCCAUUAUGUAAAUGUGCCAUUACUCUAGGAGGUAGAUCAAAAGAAAAAAAAGAUAUUGCUGCGAUUUCCCUUACUGUGUUCUUGCCUCCUUUGUUGUAAGUUCAUUGAACAUAGAUAUGUGAGAUUAAUUCUGCAUAUUAUUUCCUAUUCCCCUAAUCUAUAUUACUGUUUUUGGCCCAUGCCAUACUAUUUGGAUUGCUGUAGCUUUGAAGUAUAACUUGAGUCAUGAAGCAUGAUUCCACCAUCUCCAUUUUACUUUCUCAGUAUGGCUUUUUUUUGGGGAGGGGGUGUCUUUUGUUUCAUUCUUUUACAUAUGGCUGUCCAGGUCUCCCAACACCACUUGCUGAAAGGGCUGUCUUUUCACCAGUGUAUAUUCUUGCCUCCUUUGUCAUAGGUUGGUGGAUUGAGGGUGUGUUCAUUUAAUUCAGGGCUUUCUAUCCUGUUCCAGGGAUCUAUGUAUCUGUCUUUGUGCUGGUACCAUACAGUUUUGAUGACUGUAGCUCUGUAGGAUAGUCUGAAGUCUGGGAGCCUGAUUCCUUCAGCUCCAUUUUUUAUUUUUCAGGAUGGCUUUGGCUAUUCUGGGUCUUGUGUGCUUCCAACAAACUUUAAAAUAUUUUGUUUGAGUUCCGUGAAAACUGUCCUUGGUAGUUUCAUAGGAAUUGCAUUGACUCUGUAGAUUGCCUUGGGCAGUACAGUCAUUUUGAAACUAUUGACUCUUCCAAUCCAAGAGCAUGGUAUGUCUUUCCAUCUGUUUGUGUCAUCUUUGACUUCUUUCAUCAGUGUCUUAUAGUUUUCAGAGUACAGGUCUUCUGUCUCUUUAGGUAGGUUUACUGCUAGGUAUUUUAUUUUUUGGAUGUGAUGGUAAAUGGGAUUGCUUCCCUGAUUUCUCUUUCUGAUGUUUCCUUGUUAAUAUAUACAAAUGCAGUUGAUUUCUGUGUAUUAAUUUUGUAUCCUGUGACAUUGCCAAUUAGUGGAUGAGCCUGAAUAUUUUUCUGGUAGUCUUUAAGAUACUCUAUUUAAAGGAUCACGUCAUCUACAAAUAGUGCUAGUUUCUCUUCUUCCUAAUUUGGAUUCCUUUUAUUUCUUUUUCUUCUCCAAUUGCCGUGGCCAGGACUUCCAAAACUAUGUUGAAGUGUAGUGGAGAGAGUAGACAUCCUUGUCUUGUUCCUGAUCUGAGCAGGAAUUCUUUCAGCUUUUCACCAUUGAGAAUGAUGUUCGCUGUGGGUUUGUCAUCUGUGGCCUUUACUAUGUUGAGGUAGGUUCCCUCUCUUCCCGCUUGCUGAAGGGUUUUUCUCAGAAAUGGGUAUUGGAUUUUGUCAAAGGCUUUUUCAGCAUCUAGUGAGAGGAUCACACGGUUUUUAUUGGAUUCUGCUCAAUGCUGCUAGAGCUGAGGGAGGUACCAUGAGUAACUGAUACUGAAAGUAGAGUAACUGCACAGAAAAUCCAAGUAAGCACAUUUGUCUUUAGUUUCGGGCAACUGAUUCUCUAUACCAAGCUUGGCGAAUCUUUAAUCCUUCCUCUUCCUACUAGUAGCACAAGAUACAAAAAUAAAGGCUAUUUAGGCUGCUGGUUGUAUCCCCACCUCUCACAUCAUCUGUAUUAGGAUGUAGGAUAAUGCAGAGCCCUUACUACCAUCUUUCUAAUUAGUUCAAUUGGAGAAUCUUAACUUUUUCCAGGGAAUAUUUUCAUAUUCUCCAAUCAGGCCUCUGAAGGAGCCUUACUUAUUUGAUUCCAGAAAGUCAAAUCUCUCAUGGCAUCCUGUCAUCACCAAAAAAUGGAAAUAAAUUUGAAGGGUCUUAGAUUUUACCAUAUUUGAAAUUCCAGUGUUUUAGCCUUGAAGUUUUAACAAUGUUAGGAAAAAAAUAUUUUAGAUGCCUUAGUGUGAGCCAAAAAAAUAUUUACAUGACACAAACAGACAGCAAUAGUACU
rnacentral:lncRNA from 1 species